UGUUUCUUUGUUUUCUUUUUAUUCAAAUAAUUUUAAAAUGUGAUGAUGUACACAACAAUAAUUAGUACAGGUCUAGUUUAGAGGAUUUUUUCGCGCUUGUUUGUAAACAACGCGCGGCAUUGUGGGAAAUAGGAAGGUACUAAAGACGCGAUGUACUAAACACUGAUUUGACCUGAUUCAAAUUUGUCUGUAAAUGUUCCAAACAAUUGAAUUUUUGUAUAGCAUAUGCCUCGAAGUCAUAAAGUCUGUACAUAAGUAAUUUAAAAUACUCAAUAUUACCAUUUAAUUAAAAAUUAAAACGUCAGGUAAAUAUCAGGUCUCUAGUAUAUCCCGUUUUUAGUGUGCCCCUUCGAGUCGACGUCGGACACAUGUUUGCCAUGGUUUACAAACUGAAAAUAGAAUGAUUUGUGAAGUUGAACAUUUUCUCACAAAGAAUCCGUUUGUAGACAUGCACACUCAUUUAAUCUGCAGCUACGAAGUACUUUGUCACUUCUCUGGAACAUUAUUCUAAGCAGAAUUAUGCCGAUUCAUAUAUUCUAAGAAUCUUGUGUGAAUUGUUUACGAGGAAAUUCUGACUGUCACAUUAACAAGGAUGAACACUCUUGACUCUGCUUCCGAUUCCCCAGUGAUAAUUGUAUCGUGUGAUGAAAGAGCUGACGGCGACAUUUUAAUGUAUGAUUGGCUUGGACCAUUGGAAUGAAGUCAUUUCAUGGUGCCACCACUUGGGAUGGUAUUAGCUGCAAAUAUAGACUUGUACUCAGCACUUAUUGCCUUUAAGAAGUAUGAGAUCCAUUUUGUGCUAACACCUACCGUGACACAGAAUCUUGGUUUAUGCAGUCUCAUAGGAGUAACCUGUCUAAAGCAUUUAGCAAUGGGAUUGGAACCUGCGACGUGUGACUCAUCUGAAUACUGAAUUUUGAUACCAAGCAUGACCAUGAUUUGCCAGAAGAUCAUCUGUUUGGAUGUGACAUGGAAUAAACAGCAUAGUGAAAAUGAGUCAAGUUUUGGUUUGUGAAGACAAUUUUAAAACACACUGUGUAUCAAUUAUAAAUUUUGAUUUGACAACAUAAAUCCACAAAUAUGAACAUAUCAAUUGCUCUCAGUUUUUCAAGUGAAAUAGUUUUUGUAACAGAUAUACA